UUCCUCUAUCGGAGCAUGUAAAUAAGCUGUUUUCACAUCCAUCUGAUGAACAAGGAAGUUGUUCUGAGCAGCUAUCUGAAUAAUUGCCACACUGAGAUGCAUGAAGAUGAACGGAGAGAUGAGUCAUCAUGGAGAGAGGGAUCUGCUGAACGAGGGAAGAAGAGUGAGGACGAGGUGGAAGAAACGCGCCAUUCCUCGUCUUCACCGCUGUAACACGGCUCUCUGUUCUGCACUGCGCUGCGGACGCCAAAUGUUCCUGUGGCUCAACCAAAUGGAUCUACCGUGGAACAAUCACCAACCGCAAUGUGCUGCUGUUCCUGAAGAGGGCCUCAGAGGACUGAUGAUGUGAAUUACAGAGACCUGAUUGGUCACACCACUGCAUGAUACAAAUGAACACAUGUUUACAUGUUGUCUUUAUUAAAGUAUUAAUCACCUGAA